AAUCCCACCCAGAAAUGACAAACAAGCUCCCUGAUUGGCCAGUUGCCGGCCAGUUGGACUUGAGCGGUCGCCAUGGUGGUAUCGGGGAAUCGGCCGGCAUCGUUAGGUGUUGAAUUAUGUGUUUCGUUGUGCUAGAUAUUGCCAAUUUGCUUUGAUAUUUGAUAAAUAACGUUGGCUCAUUCUUUGGUGACCUUGCAUACUAAUACGACGAUAUUUUGAUACCGAUUAUUAUGCAUCAAACAUCAUGAGACAAAUGUGGCGAUUUCCACACCCUUUUGCAGUGCCCCCCUCUUGUGUAGUGAGUUAACAGGCUUGUAAGAACCAAGUGAACCAUUUUUAUGUCAAGUGGUCAUGAUCGUCCCUACAUCUAAUGGAUGUACAUCUACAUCUAAUGGAAGUGGUCUUGCGCAAACUUAUAAAGUACUGGAGGAAGCAGAAGUUACGAUUUUGGAGUACGCAAACUUGAUGUUAAAAAAUCUCAGGUAUUUUGGCUAUAUAAAGUGAGAAGAAAAGUUCAAUUGAUCAUUUUUUAUUACAACUGCAAUAAUGAUAAUAUCAUGAUAAUUGUACUGUCAGGUAUUGAUAAUAGUCAUGUCACGUCAUGCCACUAUAUCACCAGGCACACAGACACAACACAUUUUCAACUUUAUGUAUCUAGGCAUAAGGUGUUACAGGCAUGUUUUUGCACACCUCUCAUGUGCGAGAGGGCAUGGCCUCCUUCACAGUUAAGUUUUGGCUGAUUGUGCUCAAAUUUUGUAGGUACCUACCUACAUGUAAAGGGAUGUAGAUACUAGAUACAGUUGGCCGGGCACUCUUCUUAAUUCAGUUUUGUGCACCACUUCCUGCUUUCACCAUGCUGUGCCCACUCUGCUUUACAGUGGACAGCUGCUUCUGUGACACGCAUUAAUCUUGCGUUCAUUGAAACACUUAGUUUUGAGUGUUUUGACUCAGUUUUGUUGUAACGUUACCUGUGUUUAUAUUUACAAUAACUUGUUUUGGGCUUCUCAUAUUUAUCUUUUUUUCUUGGCUUAGCAGGUUUAGUGUAAAACAAGUUUUAGCUGACAUUUUACAUGUUAAGAUUACAUGAGUGCAUACAUUUUAUAAAAGCUAUUUCAAAGUACUGUAGCCAUGUGUAACAUGCAUAUGUCUUAGUGAAUGACUACUCAGCAUGCUGCUUGGUGCUCAAUGGUAAUAGUUUGAUUUGUUUUUGACAUCAAGUAAGAUUUGAUUUUUGUUUCUGAGAUUCCAAUGUUAUUUGUGGCAAAUAUUUUCCAAAAAUCCUCCAUCUAAAGCUUCAACUGAAUUCUAAAAUGCCUGCAUUUUCUACCAGAAACAUUAUCAUUGAUACCUCCUACAAUAUUUCAUUUUGUCACCAGGUACCUGGACUGGUGAAAAGUGAAAACUGAAAUUCGUUCAUGUCACUAUUAUCCUACGACCUACCCCUAAAUGGAAUUGAUCUUGUUUCACAAAUGAGUUGUACAUUGUACAAUGUCUAUCAGCUGAUGUCUAUUGUCUAUCUCUCUUUCAGCACAGAAGAUCCUCAGUCAUAGUUAACAAAAUGGAAAAAAAAUUAGCUGUGUUUUAAAGAUUCCAGUGGUGGCCAUCAACUGCUCAGGAAAGCAGCCCAGAAUCACUUCACAACAGGUUUCCAAAGGAUCAUCAUUCAUCAGCACAGAAGGGUGGGAAAGAGAAGACUGUUCAAAUUCUGAAAAGCCAGAGCUGCAAAGGAGGUCAAAGAUGCAGUGCAGUUGGCCCACUCAGUAGAGUUUCACUAGUGGUUCUGAUGUGGACUGAAGAUUACACGCUGGAUUGAAGUGGCCGGUCUGGAGCAGCUGUAGUUCAUCAUUCUUGCUGAUUGUGGACGAGUAAGAGCCCGCGUUGGCCCCGAUCGGCGAUCGCUGGCCAAAGCCAUGGAUUAGAGAUAACUUUUAUUAUCUCUUAUUCAUGUAUCAUGUAUUCAUUAUUCAUGCAUUCAUGUAUUCAUGUAGGUAUCUCUUAUUCUUGCCAAAGCCCACCACCAGUUUGGUGAUAGGCGUUGGCUGUGAUAUCUAGUGUCGCCUAUGUGUGAAAAGGACAAGUUGAUAACAAAACCUGUUGCGCCAUGUUAUUAACCCGCGCCCGGGUGGCCCUCAGCCAACUUGGUGGGGGGGGGGGGGGGGGUGUAUUCGGCCACACCAGGUUAUCUUGGAAUGUAGCAAAGCUGGAAAGACGCAGUAAAAUCAAUCUAUAGAUCGCUAUUUUUCUUCAGAAUCAUUCAGGUCAUUUUUGAUCAGGUCAUCGCUGAGGUCACUGGAGGUCACCAAAAGUAAAAUGAUGACGAAUUUUGGCCCCCGAUUUUGACAACUUCACAAAUUGGUUCAUAAUUCGGGAACCAAAGAAGCUACAGCGCCGCGGAAAAGCGAAUUCGAUAGCUCUUUCGAAAAUCUUUCAGGUUCUCAGAUUUGAGCUAAGGUCAACUAGGGUUAAGCCUCCAAAGGGCAAAAACUGAACAAUCGGCUUGCUUCGGAAGUCGUCUUUUCUUUAAAAAUUUUUUAAACUGAUACCAACCUUUUAUUACGUUGAUUUUACCGGCACUGCGUUUCUCUCGUCUUCUUGGCCUAACAAGGUCAGCGUAAUAAAUUUGACCUUAGGUCAAUGUCGCAGAAAAUGCCAUUUUGCAUGUCAUUGAUUCGUUACAUUGAAAUUGAGAUUAACAUCAGUAGCGGCGGAACACCUUCAAUUAAGGGGGCAUUGCCGACUUUUGGGCUCAUUCUUUCCAUGCAACGCCCAUAGGGCUAAUGUUAAAAUGCCAAAUUCAAAGGGGGCACGGUGCCCCGGUGCCCUCGGCCUGUUCCGCCGCCUAUGAUUAUGAUGCUUUUAGCGCUCUGGCCACGUUCCAUCUAAACUCGAUGUACAAAAAUAAACUGUUGGGAGGCGUUACAUGACCUGAGAUGACCUCAGGAGCAUACGAUAGAUCCCGAUGUUUGAGUGCUUUUGUUUCAAAAGCAGAACAUUUCGAGUUCCUCAUACUGACUGAAACUGGAGACGUCGCAAAGUUGACCUGACCCUAGGUCACCACCGAUAUCAAAAUUAAAGAUAUUCAAGAUGUUGGUACUGAUUCUCUCAUGCAAUAGCUCGAGCUUCAAACUUCUACUUCAUGGUGACCUGACCUGACCUUAGGUGACAUGGGGUUGCUUUUUUCACAAUUGAUGCGAAUCGAUGCAUUAUACAUAAGCUAUACUAAGUUUCGUGUCGUUUUAUCUAUGCAAGCACAAAAUUGUUAGGUAUGGCCAAAAACGCCCCCACGGACCACCCACCUGGGGAACGUUAAAGCAGUGAUGUAUUUUUUCGGUGUAUUCCACGAUGCAUCGAUCGGUGUACUUGAUAAUGCAUUAUUUAUUGCUGCG